UAAAAUCUAAGUGAAACCCAAAAUCAAAAUCCUAAGAGACAACUCCGAAUUUCCGGCGACGCUACGGAUCGUGCCUCCCUGCUGCGAUCUGCGUCGCUCCUCCAAAAUUUCCGGCAACACUUUGAAUCAUGCCUCCUGCUUCAGUUCUGCGUCGCUCCUCCUGCUACGACGCUGAGUCUCUGUUGCGACGUAACUCGCUGCUGCCGACGCCGACACCGCUUGUAAAUCUAGUGCCCACCAUGUUCAGAGGAGCGUGACUCUUUGACAUCAAAUUUAAGGUAGCAGGCUUGGACUUUGCAUUUACAGAGAGCACUGAUGUUUACCACACCAAGGUGGAUUGAUCCUCUUAAAGCUAGACAUUGGUGCCCCCCUCCAGUAUGUUGUGACAGCAUCUUUUCUCAGCAAACUGUACAUUGACUAUCUUGAGCUUCUGCAUAGGUACCAUGACAGUUGUAACAGUGUUGUGUUUGCUCUACCAAACUUGAGUGAUUUCCCAAUGUCACGGGUAAGACAGCAACCUCAGACCAUGCAAAUUGCAAGUUCUGCAAGAUACAUAACAAACAAACAUGCUGUUGCAGUUGAUAUUAGGAUUCAAUCCGAGGAGCUUGUCCAAUGUUAGGUUGAACUCCGUUGCAACACCCUCAUAAGUAUCACUGCCUUAUGCUCCAACGGCACUAUUCCAAUUUAGAGUUGUACUUUGUGAACUAUUUAGACUUCAUGAUUUGAUUUGAAUGAACACCAAUGAAUUUUACAAAUUAU